GCGGGUCGGAGAGAAGGAGGAGGCAGAGGAGGCCCGACAGACGGGGAACAGAAACUGACGGAGGACAAACGGGAAGCCGUCGCUCAUCGUAGGAUUCAUCACAGCUUUGAAACUUUCUGAAGGAUCAAUAAUCAUCGUCUACUGGAGUUAAAGCAACAUCCAGAUCAUUUCAACUGUAACUGAGUGAGCUGCAGGAGGAGGAAUCGUCCCUUUCUGAGAAGACAGAUCUUCAGCGGGUUCCUCCUGACGAAGCUCACUUGUUGGCUGGAAACCGUCCAGGUGAGGCCGUCGUGAAGCUGAGGAUCAAACAUCUGAGCUGCUCCUCAGUUCUCCACCAGAACAAACAUCUGGACCUUCAGGAGUUCACCUUCGGAUGGUUCCUCUAAACCAGGGGUGUCAAACUCAUCUUAGUUAAGUUCCACAUUCAGCCCAAUAUGAUCUCCAGUGACCAAUAAAAUCACAGCAUAAUAACCUGUAAAUAACCACAAGUCCAAAUGUUUCCAUUCGUUUUAUAUCAGGGGUGUCCAACAUGCGGCCCGUGGGCCAAAAGUGGCCCUCCAGAGGGUCCAAUCCGGCCCUCAAAGUGUAAAAAUUCCAGAGAAGACAUUAACUGCUGAUUGUAAAUUAGUAAACUAUCAUUUAAAA
ensembl:lncRNA